rnacentral:rRNA from 1 species
CUGAUGUAGCCCGGAUUCUAAUCCACUUAGAGAUUGCUUAAUCGCUUUUGAGAGUGGUGACGUUUCUGAUGCUACACCAACAGGGUUGAUCGUGUGGGUUGACCCGUGUAGUGUGCCCCAGAGGCGCCGACGUCUUUGGCAAGUUGCUGCCGGUUAGACUUAUCAUGGUUGACUUUUAACCUUGCUUGCAAGGUGUUGGUGUCAAAGUCAGCCACCCUUCCGUCCCGUCUUGAAACACGGACCGAGGAGUGUAUCUCGCACGCAAGUCAAGGGGUGGUGAAACCCUACGGCGAAAUGAAAAUGAUUUCAUGGGAAUCCCUCACGGGAUGCACCAUGGCCCUAUCCCAGUUGCUUGCAACGGGGUGGAGGAAGAGCGUGCGGGAUGCGACCCGAAAGAUGGUGAACUAUGCUUGAGCAGGACGAAGUCAGAGGAAACUCUGAUGGAAGUCCGUAUCGGUUCUGACGUGCAAAUCGAUCGAUAGACUUACGUAUAGGGGCGAAAGACUAAUCGAACCAUCU